GAUGAACGCUGGCGGUAUGCCUAACACAUGCAAGUCGUACGAGAGUUUUUAACUCUAGUGGCGGACGGGUGAGUAACACGUGAGAAUUUGCCUUUAGGAGGGGGACAACAAUCGGAAACGAAUGCUAAUACCCCAUAUGCUUUCGAGUGAAAUGGAUUUUAUCCGCCUAGAGAGAAGCUCGCGGCUGAUUAGCUUGUUGGUAAGGUAAGAGCUUACCAAGGCGACGAUCAGUAUCUGGUUUGAGAGGACGAUCAGACACACUGGAACUGAGACACGGUCCAGACUCCUACGGGAGGCAGCAGUGGGGAAUUUUCCGCAAUGGGCGAAAGCCUGACGGAGCAAUACCGCGUGAGGGAAGAAUGCCUAUGGGUUGUAAACCUCUUUUUUCUAGGGAGGAAUCAAAUGACGUGUACCUGAAGAAUAAGCAUCGGCUAACUCCGUG
rnacentral:rRNA from 1 species